rnacentral:rRNA from 1 species
AUUGAACGCUAGCGGGAUGCCUUAUACAUGCAAGUCGAACGGAGUGGCGAACGGGUGAGUAAUGUAUCGGAACGUGCCCAGUCGCGGGGGAUAACUACGCGAAAGCGUAGCUAAUACCGCAUACUUUUGGAGCGGCCGAUAUCGGAUUAGCUCGUUGGUGGGGUAACGGCUCACCAAGGCGACGAUCCGUAGCUGGGUUGAGAGGACGACCAGCCAAACUGGGACUGAGACACGGCCCAGACUCCUACGGGAGGCAGCAGUGGGGAAUUUUGGACAAUGGGGGAAACCCUGAUCCAGCCAUCCCGCGUGUGGGAUGAAGGCCUUCGGGUUGUAAAGCACUUUUGGCAGGAAAGCGGUACCUGCAGAGUAAGCACCGGCUAACUACGUGCCAGCCGCCGCGGUAAUUC